rnacentral:sRNA from 1 species
AGUCUAUGAAACUGUACACUGUGGUCUUAGGCUGUUAUUUUAUCUCUUUUAGAAGAAACAAAGAGCAGCAGCACAGUAAAGGAAGAGAAGUCCAAGGCUUGCGAGAAGGUCAUUUCCGUGGGUCAAACGGUCAUCACGAAGCAUCGGAACACCCGGUAUUACAGUUGCAGAGUGAUGGCUGUGACAUCGCAGACCUUCUAUGAGGUCAUGUUUGAUGAUGGCUCCUUCAGCAGAGACACAUUUCCUGAGGAUAUCGUGAGCCGAGACUGUCUGAAGCUGGGCCCACCUGCCGAGGGAGAAGUCGUCCAAGUCAAGUGGCCUGAUGGCAAACUCUAUGGAGCAAAAUAUUUUGGAUCAAAUAUUGCCCACAUGUACCAGGUUGAGUUUGAAGAUGGAUCCCAGAUAGCAAUGAAGAGAGAGGACAUCUACACGUUAGAUGAAGAGUUACCCAAGAGAGUGAAAGCUCGAUUUGUAAGUGCGGGCAGAUGCCACUUGGGGACCUGCCAAGUGAAUUCCUUGUCCUCACCUCAUGUUUCCCAAGCCCAGCAGGAAACAUACUUGGGCUUUUGGAUUAAUUCUAAAAAAAGCCAAUGCAACAUUUUCCUUAGUGGAACCUAUUGAAUGCAAACUUCAAAUUCAACCAAAAUCGGGGAAAUUAAUGCAUGUGCUUUACUUUUCUUCUAAUGAAGUCACAUGAUGCUUCUUUGUGUUGACAUUUAUUGGUGCACAAAAAUACUUACUGAAUGUGUGCUCUGUGCAAAACACCAGGAGCAAACAAAGAUACCAUCAAGGC